AACCCACUGAGCCACCCGGGCACCCCCAUGGAAAUACAUUCUUAAACUCCGAAGAAGCUCUUGCGUAACUGCAGCCCUGGCCAACAUCUUGCCUGCAGUCUACUGAGCGAGCCCAAGCCAGAACCACCCACCUCCGCUGCUGCCAAAUUUCUGACCCACUGAAAUUAUGAGACCAUGAAUGUUGGCUGACUGGAGCCUGGAUAUUGUCCACUUGGAUUGCCUCUGUGUCAAAGAAGGAAGUGAAGAAAAGCAGAUAUAUCAGAGGGUCUGUUGACUAAAGUGUGGCAACCCUGUUUUUGAAGAACAGCCUAAAGAAAAUUAUUAGUUUUGAAGAACUUAAAAUGAACUAACUCUAUUAGAAAGGAAAGAUAUACAUUAAAUGUGUAAAAAAGGUUCCUGGAUCCAAUUCCACCAACAAAGCAGCCAAGUAGAUUGGACCAAGAAACUUCGGAAGAAUGCAAAGAUGAAGAAAAUAAUGUGGCCCUUGGAGGAGUUUGUAAUGAAGUCAGACCAGAGGAAGCAAAGUCAAAACAAGAUCGAAAUAAAAACAGAAUCCUUCAAACCAGGCACUUAGUUGACUUAAAUCUCAAA
rnacentral:lncRNA from 1 species